GCUGCCCCGUCCGGGAGGGAGGUGGGGGGGUCAGCCCCCCGCCCGGCCAGCCGCCCCGUCCGGGAGGGAGGUGGGGGGGUCAGCCCCCUGCCCGGCCAGCCGCCGGGCCAGCCGCCCCGUCCGGGAGGUGAGAGGUGCCUCUGCCCGGCCGCCCCUACUGGGAAGUGAGGAGCCCCUCUGCCCGGCCAGCCGCCCCGUCCGGGAGGGAGGUGGGGGGGUCAGCCCCCAGCCCGGCCG
rnacentral:lncRNA from 1 species